rnacentral:tRNA from 1 species
ACAAAAUGUAGCUUAACGAAAGCGCCUUGCUUACACCAAGUAUAUGCCUGUGAAAUUCAGACCAUUUUGA